rnacentral:rRNA from 1 species
UACGUAGGCAGCGAGCGUUGUUCGGAGUUACUGGGCGUAAAGGGCGCGUAGGCGGUCUUGUCAGUCCCUUGUGAAAUCCCCCGGCUCAACUGGGGAACUGCACGGGAAACAGCAGGGCUUGAGUUCGGGAGAGGGAAGCGGAAUUCCGGGUGUAGCGGUGAAAUGCGUAGAUAUCCGGAGGAACACCGGUGGCGAAGGCGGCUUCCUGGACCGAUACUGACGCUGAGGCGCGAAAGCUAGGGGAGCAAACGGG